ACUCAAAUGAAUUGACGGGGAUCCGCACAAGUGGUGGAGCAUGUGGUUUAAUUCGAUACUAAGCGAAACACCUCACCAAGGUUUGAAAUCUAGCUGCAGAGCCCAGAAAUGGGAUGUCCUUCGAGGGUGCUAGACCAGGUGCUGCAUGGUCGUCGUCAGCUCGUGUCGUAAGAUGUUCCGUUAAGUCGGGAAACGAGCGCAACCCCUGUGGAGUGUUAGAUAUGUCACUCCAGACUGCCCUCUCAUUUGAACGCAAGCGAAAGUUUGUAGGCAAGUGAGAGGGAGGAAGGAGGGGAUGACGUCAGAUCAGCAUGGCCCUUUGACACCUUGGGCGACACACGUGCUACAAUGGCCGAUUAAUAAAGGGCUGCCAACCCGCGAGGGGGAGCUAAUCCCAAAAACUCGGUCUAAGUUCGGAUUGGAGGCUGCAACUCGCCUCCAUGAAGUUGGAAUCACUAGUAAUCGUGGAUCAGACAUGCCACGGUGAAUGCGUUCUCGGAUCUUGUACACACCGCCCGU
rnacentral:rRNA from 1 species